rnacentral:rRNA from 1 species
UUAAGCUAAAUACCCGCAUACGAUCUACGGAUGAAAGUGGGGGAUCGCAAGACCUCAUGCUCCUGGAGCGGCCGAUAUCUGAUUAGCUAGUUGGUGGGGUAAAAAGCUCACCAAGGCGACGAUCAGUAGCUGGUCUGAGAGGACGACCAGCCACACUGGGACUGAGACACGGCCCAGACUCCUACGGGAGGCAGCAGUGGGGAAUUUUGGACAAUGGGGGCAACCCUGAUCCAGCAAUGCCGCGUGAGUGAAGAAGGCCUUCGGGUUGUAAAGCUCUUUUGUCAGGGAAGAAACGGUUGCAGCUAAUAUCUGCGACUAAUGACGGUACCUGAAGAAUAAGCACCGGCUAACUACGUGC